rnacentral:rRNA from 1 species
UGUAUAAGGGUUGAACAGCUUCUAGGCACAACAUUUGGGGUUAAGUCUAGUUUCAAACUGAGGCAGUCUACUGUCGUUGUAAUUCUACCUUCGCGAAAAGUUGACUAAAUUUAAUUUAUGUGUAUGCAUUUUCCCUAGAACUAGUCAUGGGUGAGCCUGAGGUCCAUAACCUUAAGGUUGGGGGUUCAAUUCCCCCUAGUUCCCUCUCUCCUUAGCAUAUACUAUCUUAAAUUUUUUUGAAAACUAUUAACCACUACAACCUACACUACUGAAGUUACUUAAUAUGUACCCCCCCCACUAAACCUAUUAUACCACCUUAUUUUUAUUAAGCGCUAUAAGAAUUUGAAAAGAAAGUAAAUCGCUUAAUUGUAGUCAAUGAGUAAGUCGAAGAAUGUAAUUAUUCGACUGAAGAAAGUAUGAUCAAAUUCUAAGGCUGAAGCGGCGGACAUCGAUAGUAAACAGUAGUGUGAACGAAUGGUUAAAAGUUAUCAUAGAAGAGAAGUGAAAUAGAUCCUGAAACUUAAUGUAUAACCUGUUAAAGCUUAAGCGAUAGCGUACCUUUUGCAUAAUGGGCUAGUGAGUUAAUAGAAGUAGCAAGCUUAAUUCUUAAAUAGGCGUAAUGAAAAUAUUUAAAAGUUACUUCUAUUAAACCCGAAACUAACCGAUCUAAUUAUGAACAAGUCGAAGGUCACCGUACUGGAGGACUGAACCCAUGAAUGUUGCAAAAUUCUGGGAUGAUUUGUAAUUAGGGGUGAAAGGCCAAUCAAGGUUAGUGAUAGCUGGUUCUCUGCGAAAAUUAUUUAAGUAAUGUGGAAGUGGAUAAUAACUUAAGGUAAAGUCAUCUUUAAAUAAUACGAUUGAAUAUUGGGUAAUAUUUCGAGAAACUCAAAAUGUAGGUUAAUUCAAUACUUCUAGUCAGACGUAAUCGCGCAAAGGUGAUACGUCAAGAGGGAAACAGCCCCGACUACACGUUAAGGUGUUAAAUACUUAUUAAGCUGAAAGGUAGUUAAUUAAUUUAUUAUUUAGGGGAUAGACUUGGAAGCAGCCAUUCAUUAAAAAAAGCGUAAUAGCUUACUAAAUAAAUAUAUUAUUCUGAAAAAAAAUAAAACAAUUAAUUAGCUGUCGAUAAUGUAUAGACAAUGAAAUAAGUAACCGAAACGCUAGAAGCUAAAUUAGCUUGGUAGCAGAGUGUUUUGUAAUUCGUUGAAGAUAAGUUGUUAAACUUGUUCGAGAAAUCAAAAUUAAUUAUACUAGCAUUAGUAACGUUAAAUAACGUCAGAUUCGUUAUCGCUGUAAGUCCUAGAGUUUGACCACCAGGGAUAUCCGUGGGCAGAACUAUAUCCCCUUAAAAAAAGAUGAAAGUCGUAUAUUUAAUGGGUUUUGUUGUCACUACUUUUGUUAUUUGUUAUUAAUAGUGUUUCAAACGAAGGGUAGCAUUUAAUAAAACAAGAAAUAAGUCAGCACGGUGGUAUUAUUCAUAAAAAAGUAGUACUCCGUAAAAUACAUAAAAUCCAACACCGGUGGACGGGUAGAGUAUACUAAAGCGAUGGAAGAAAGUAGGUGAAGGAACUUGGCAAAAUAACUCUGUAACUUCGGGAGAAGGAGGGCGUGUGUAGCGACUACUCUUAGAUUACUUUUAAAAAAUUUAACGGUAAUUUAGUUUAGGACUACAUAUGUAUCACGAAAAUAGGGAUAGCGACUGUUUACUAAAAACACAGGACUCUGCUAAAUUUUAUAAUGAUGUAUAGAGUCUGACGCCUGCCCAGUGCUGCAAGAUAAAAGAUUAUGAGUAAUUGCUCAUUGGUCUAAGUCCCAGUAAACGGCGGCUGUAACCCUGACGGUCCGAAGGUAGCGAAAUUCAUUGGCGGGUAAGUUCCGUCCUGCAUGAAUGGCGUAACGACUUUCCCACUGUCUCCAACUACUAUCCAGUGAAAUUGAAUAUUAGGUGAAAAUGCCUAGAAUGAGCAACGGGACGGAAAGACCCUAUGCACCUUUACUGGAACCUUAUAUAGAUUUAACUUUCUGGUACUAAACGGUAGGAAUAAUCCAUUAACCGUAUAUACUGAAAUUUACGUCUAAGUAACUAAUAAACGCGGCUCUGGUAAGUUUGAUCGAUUUAAAUAAACUUAAUCACGGUAGGUACAUUUAAACGUCACUGAAGGGGCUAAUAAAACUUAUGAAAUUGUAAGGAUGCCAGUUUCACUGGGGCGGUGGCCUCCUAAAAAGUAACGGGGGUGUACAAAGGUUUAAUAAAGCAUAUUCUUAUGCGUCUAUUAUAAUGAAUUUAGUUAAGCUUGAUUUUUAAACAGAUGUGUUUAAGAAGGGUGAGUUACUAAACUUGCCUGUCAUAGUGACCCAAUAAUAUUAUUUUCUUGAUAAAGUUAU